AACGAACGCUGGCGGCAGGCUUAACACAUGCAAGUCGAACGGGCGUAGCAAUACGUCAGUGGCGGACGGGUGAGUAACACGUGGGAAUAUGCCUUUCGGUUCGGAACAACUCGGGGAAACCCGUGCUAAUUCCGGAUACGCCCUUACGGGAAGAUUAUCGCCGAAGAUUAGCCCGCGUUGGAUUAGCUAGUUGGUGAGGUAAAGGCUCACCAAGGCGACGAUCCAUAGCUGGUUUGAGAGAACGACCAGCCACACUGGGACUGAGACACGGCCCAGACUCCUACGGGAGGCAGCAGUGGGGAAUCUUGGACAAUGGAGGAAACUCUGAUCCAGCCAUGCCGCGUGAGUGAUGAAGGCCUU
rnacentral:rRNA from 1 species